AGAAUCAACGCUGGCGGCGUGCCUCAGACAUGCAAGUCGAACGCGAAAGUCCCCUUCGGGGGGCGAGUAGAGUGGCGCACGGGUGAGUAACACGUAGGUAAUCUACCUUUGGAUGGGGAAUAACAACCGGAAACGGUUGCUAAUACCGCAUAAUGCAGCGGCACCUAAUGGUGACAGUUGUUAAAGCGGGGGAUCGAAAGACCUCGCGUCUGAAGAGGAGCCUGCGGCGGAUUAGCUAGUUGGUAAGGUAAUGGCUUACCAAGGCUACGAUCCGUAACCGGCCUGAGAGGGCGGUCGGUCACACUGACACUGACAUACGGGUCAGACUCCUACGGGAGGCAGCAGUCGGGAAUUUUGGGCAAUGGGCGAAAGCCUGACCCAGCAACGCCGCGUGAAGGAUGAAAUCCCGUCGGGAUGUAAACUUCGACAAGAACGGAAGAAGUAAGUAAGGGACAACUACCCCCUAUAGAUCGACGGUACCGUUAGUAACGCUCCGGCUAACUCCGUCGCCGAGCACGCCGCGUAAUCGU
rnacentral:rRNA from 1 species